rnacentral:lncRNA from 1 species
AAAAGGUCUGGGUUCAAUCCCCAGUACCAAAAACAAAACAAAACAAAACAACAGGCCAAGUUGUGCCAUGUGGCACAUGCCUGUAAUCCAGUCACUGGAGGAUCUGAGGCAGGAGGAUAGCCAUGACUUUGAGACCAACCUGAGCUAUGUGGAAAGCACUCAGCCAAAGAGUUUUUCAGGAACAGCCAAUAUGGAUCACAGUCUUUGAAGAUGACUCAUCUGCGGGAGAGGGGCAGAGCGCUUAGUUAGGUCGGGAGGAUCUGGAGCGUGAGAUGUUCAUGGAACUGGAUGAGCAGCUGCAAGAGCUGGAUGCCAGCAAAGCCAAGAUGAGGACCUCAAGGGUUGUUCACAGACUGGGUUUCACACCUGCCCUGCAGUUCAGAGGGUCAGUCCAUUAUCAUCAAGGCGGGAGCAGGGCAGCAUCCAGGCAGCAUCCAGGCAGCAUCUAGGCAGGCGUGGUGCUGGAGGAGCCGAGUUCUCCAUCUUCUGCUUACUCUGCUCUGAUACAGCCAGGAUACCUACCCUCUAAGCUAUUAGAAUCUAUAACCCCA